GCAAGUCGAACGAGAACGGGUCUUAGCUUGCUAAGAUUGUCAGCUAAGUGGCGCACGGGUGAGUAAUAUCUAGUUAACCUUCCCUAGAGAGAGGGAUAACGUUUGGAAAAGGAAGAUAAGACAUCAUAUGAAUUUAAGUCAAAAGACUGCAAGGGAAACAUGUAUGGCUCUAGGAUGGGACUGUACGGUAGCAGUGAGUGGGUGAGGUAAUGGCUGACCAAGACAAUGACAGCUAGCUGGUUUGAGAGGAGGAGC
rnacentral:rRNA from 1 species